UAUUGUGCUCACAGCCAUGAACUUACAGUUUUGAGUUUUAUUCACUUGUCAUUUCCUUGAGUCUCAGACGCUCCCUGUAGAGAACUGGCUGGACUUGUUC